GCCGGCCCCUCGUCUGCCCAGGGUUCUGGGGACAAAGUGCUCCGGAGAAGGGAAAAUACGUGGGAAUUGUGGAAUGGCUGCAUAAUAGCUACCCUGUGCUUCCCGAACAGCAUGGCAGAAGAUGGAUAAAAGAAAUGGAAAAGAGACCCAAAGGGAGAUUCUUUCUUUGGGGUGCUGUUGGUUUGCUUGCUUGCAAGAGGUUUUAGUGCAAAUUUCAAAAUCCAUAACUCUUAAAGAUGACCUGCAAAAUGCCAAUGUGCAGGAUUGCAUCCAAGAAUCUGUAGUUAGUGGAAGCUUGUGCGCCUAAUACAAGGCUUCAGAGUGGCUGCUACACAUUCAAGAACAGGGAAUUUCAAGAGAACUUGGCAAAUGGAUGGAAGGAAGAUGAUGGAAUUAGGGAAGGAUUUUUGCAGAAGCCUUAGGGAGGGAAGAAGGAAAAUUAAAGGGAUGGUGCAAGGAAAGUUGCCAGCUGAAGGAAAGAAAGAAAAAACAGAUAGUGAAUGAAAAAUGAUCUCAGAAAAUGGGAAAAAAAUUAGUAGGAGCUGAACUAAAAUCCAGACAGCAAGGAAGUCAAAGCACCUUCAUAUAAGUGGAGAAACUACUCCAGCUGUGUCUGUGGAACCAGAGCACCCAGCAGUGGCCUCCUCCAGCUCCAUGACCAUCCCAGAGGGAGCAGCCUCUCCCACACAGCUUGGGCCCAGGAGGAAUGUCUGAUUUGGGCUGCAACACAGCUGCAGCUCUUGGACUCAUGAGAGCCCUGCUGCUUUUCAGUUGUCCUUGUCAAAAAGAAAAGAGGUAAGAAG